rnacentral:lncRNA from 1 species
AGGAUCCAACAAUAACAUUUUGCGUUUAUUUAACAAAGAAAUGCUUUUUGUUUACCAGGUCAAGCUUGGAGGGGGUAACUGAAAAGAGAAGAGGAAAAAGGAAUCAAGAGGAAAUAAUCAAUUGGGAAAUUUCAAAAGAUGGAAACUAUGAAGUCCAGAGGCAAUAAGUAACUUGAACAAGGGUAAGUGAAACAAGGAAAAAAGGACAAGAAAGGGUUUUGAUGUGUUUGUUUGGUGGCAAAAUAACUAAAGAGACAUAGUUAAGAUAGUUUCAUGGGAGGAUGAUGACCUCAAGGGGUUGGAACAAUAUUUUGUGACAUUAAAGGCACUAAAAGAGCUUCACCUUCCUCCAAACCCUUGGCUUCUCAUCCAACUAUCAAUAGAGUCCAUUUAUUAAGCUGAGGGC